GGGGGUGAAAAUGGGAUUGACAGAGGCUCAGCUAAGAUAAGCAGGCCGAGCGAAAUCUCGUAAAACUUUCAAAAGAAAAACUGCCAACUUAUCUUUACAACCUGUCUUAGCCUAAGCAUAAAGACAGGCAUCCUCUUCCCGAUCCUCGAUAGGGAAAGAGCGGUGUCAUAGAUCGAGGAUAGUUCUUUUCGUCAGGUUGAAAGCUUUUCGUCCGAUUUUUGACUUUCAGCCUUCCUUAAAUCGGACUAAGCCUGUAGAUUUAUCUUAGCGAAAACCUCUGGACUGGGGUUCGAUUCCCCACACCUCCAAAA
rnacentral:tmRNA from 1 species